rnacentral:rRNA from 1 species
GUUAAGAUCGAUGAGAGACAGAAAGCCUUUCAAGCUGUCGACGGGUGCGCAUAUAACAUCUUUGCGCUUGACCAGUUGCUAAGGUACCACAGGCAAAAUAAGAAACCACUCUAUUUAGCCUCUAUAGACGUGGCAAAGGCAUUUGAUUUGAUCUCCCAUAGAGCUCUGACCGAUACAUUGGAAUAUUAUAACCUGCCACAACCAUUUAUCAACUAUGUUAGUGAUCUGUAUAGAAGGGGUUGGACCAGACUCCGGUUUGGCCGCUUCACCUCGGAUCCCAUUAGUCCGAGGUGCGCGGUCAAGCAGGGAGAUCCUCUGUCUCCGGUCCUCUUUAACAUGAUCAUGAACAAGAUGAUUAAAAGAACCCCACCAGAAAUCGGGGUCAAUGUUGACGGAUGCUUCUACAAUAUUCUUGCCUUUGCCGACGACCUAGUCUUGGUAGCAUCGUCGGUCGGAGGUUUGCAGAAGUUAUUAGAUCAUGCCGGUCAAUACAUGUCUAACUGCGGCUUAAUUAUAAACAAUAACAAGUCAUUUACAGUUACGGUCAAGAACGUGCCGCACGUCAAAAAGUCGAUAAUAGAUAGAACAACUACAUUUAGCUGCAACGGUCAAACACUACCCGCACUCACAAGAGUGGAUAGCUGGAGCUACCUCGGUGUCCAGUUCAAUCCCGAAAGUGCAAACCUAGGGAACAUGAGAUUAAAAUUACUAACAAUCAUUGACAAAUUAACUAAGGCACCGUUAAAACCUCAACAAAGACUUUUUGCACUACGAACUGUAGGCAUACCCAGAAUACUCCACCAACUAGUAUUGGGUCAUGCAAAAAUCGGGUACCUCAAAACGCUGGACGGAAUGAUAAGAAAAGCCAUAAGAUCAUGGCUAAGACUACCCAAUGACGUAACAUUAGCGUACUUUUAUGCCCACUGUAGAGAGGGCGGUUUAUCAAUUCCAUCCCUUAGGUGGCUCGUACCCUUAGACGCCAAAAAGAAUCCAGAACUUGAACUCUACCGACUCAAGCUUCCACAAGCUCGAGAUCGCAAAAUGUGAGAAAAUGCUACAUGACAACAACACCGUCAUAAGCUCUCAAAAAGAAUUGGAUGAGAAAUGGGCCCGCACACUUCAUAAGUCAGUGGACGGAAACCCACUUAAACACUCAGCCAAAACACCAUCCCAACAUCGAUGGAUUACAGAGGGCAACAAACUUCUCACUGGCAGCGACUUUGUAAACUGUGUAAAAUUCAGAAUAAACGCGAUGCCCACAAGGUCACGUACAACGAGAGGAAGAAUGGAGGACAGAUACUGCAGGGCAGAUUGUAAUGCCUUGGAGACACUGGAUCAUGUACUCCAAACUUGUCACAGAAUCCAUCGCCAACGCAUUGAACGCCACAAUGCAGUAACCAACUAUGUAAAGAGGGCACUAGAGAAAUCUCAUUCACAAGUUGAUCUUGAGCCAUCCUUUAAAACAACCGAAGGAACUAGGAAGCCUGACCUAAUAGCGGCACAGGACGGGAAGGUCAUAGUAUUAGACACCCAAAUAGUAGGAAGCUCUGCCGACUUGGCAGCUUCACAUAAGAGGAAGAUAGAUUAUUACAAGCCGCUGGUAGACAUGAUAAGGACAAGGUAUAAUGCAACUGAGGUAAACUUCAACACGAUAACUCUUAAUAUAAGGGGUGUUUGGUAUGGAAAAUCGGCGGAGUUCCUAACAUCAAAUAAAAUACUUGGGAAGGACGAACUCAAAAUUGUUUCAACCAGGACUGAAUGGGUUCGCAAAAUGGUCAAAAACAACGACAGUUAAGAAGAAAAGACAGGGAAUUGGAUGACCAAGUAUAUUAAUGCGUGCUGCCUGCGCCACCAUCCUCCAGGCACAAAACUAGGAGUUAGGUUAGUGGGUAUUGCCUUCGGGUCGAGUCCCACACUGCCUGGUCAACCUGGCGACCGGCGUGCGUAAAUGCAUUCCCCUCCUAGCCAAAAAAAAAAAAAAAAAAAAAAAAAAAAAAAAAGCCAAAUGCCUCGUCAUUUAAAUAGUGAACGAGAUUCCCACUGUCCCUAUCUACUUUCUAGCGAAACCACUGCCAAGGGAACGGGCUUGGAAAAAUUAGCGGGGAAAGAAGACCCUGUUGAGCUUGACUCUAGUCUGGCAUUGUAAGGAGACAUGAAAGGUGUAGCAUAAGUGGGAGAUAGUAAUAUCGUCGGUGAAAUACCACUCCUUUCAUCGUUUCUUUACUCUCGAUUGGGCGGAAAGCGUGCGUCGAAAACUUGCGUUCCGACUGUCACGGUUUUCUAGAGCCAAGCGCAUAAGAGUGGUGUGAGCCAUUGCACGAUCGCCAACAAUACUCUAGCGUGAUCCGAUUCAAGGAAACUGCUAGGCGGGGAGUUUGACUGGGGCGGUACAUCUGUCAAAUAAUAACGCAGGUGUCCCAAGGCCAGCUCAGCGAGGACAGAAACCUCGCGUAGAGCAAAAGGGCAAAUGCUGGCUUGAUCCCGUUGCUCAGUGUGCACAGGGACUGCGAAAGCAUGGCCUAUCGAUCUUUUUGGCUUGAAGAGUUUUCAGCAAGAGAUGUCAGAAAAGUUACCACAGGGAUAACUGGCUUGUGGCAGUCAAGCGUUCAUAGCGACGUUGCUUUUUGAUCUUUCGAUGUCGGCUCUUCCUAUCAUUGCGAAGCAGAAUUCGCCAAGCGUUUGGUUGUUCACCCACAAAUAGGAAACGUGAGCUGGGUUUAGACCGUCGUGAGACAGGUUAGUUUUACCCUACUGAUGAAUCGUCGUUGCGAUAGUAAUCCUGCUCAGUACGAGAGGAACCGCAGGUUCGGACAUUUGGUUCACGCACUCGGUCGAGCGGCCGGUGGCGCGAAGCUACCAUCCGUGGGAUUAUGUCUGAACGCCUCUAAGGCCGUAUCCUUUCUAGACAAAGUAAGCAACGAUAUCUCUAAGAGUCUCGUGAGUCAAAAGGCUCAAUACAAUGUGAUUUAUUAGGUAUUCGGCACACGCCGUUUAUCGCACGAGCCAUUUUUAGCCGAAUGGGGCGCUGGACAGGGGCGAUAUCCGUCCGUUAUAUCUGUCUUGCCUAUAGCGGUCGAUCAAGGUCACUAGUUCGAUGUAGAGACUGGGAAUCGUUUGUAAACGACUUAGGUACCUGGCGGGGUGUUGUACUCGGCAGAGCAGUUACCACGCUG